AAAAGUAUAGUUUAAUAAUAAAACAGUUUUUGUAAUAUUAAAUAAUACAAAAAUAAAUAAUAGUGAAAUUCUAUUUGCUUUUUA
rnacentral:tRNA from 1 species